ACUAACAAGGGGGAUGAGCUCUCGAAUCGCAUCCAGAAUACGCUGGGCAACUAUGAUGAAAUGAAAGACUUGUUAACUGACCGAUCAAACCAGAGCCACCUCGUUGGGGUUCCAAAACCUGGGGUUCCUCAGACGUCUCUCCCCAAGCCCGAUGACCAUCUUAUUGCAGACUCGAGACUGCCGCCUCCUCCUCCCAUUUCCAGCACUACUUCUUCCGCACCAGCAGCCCUGUCUGCCCAGCAGAGCAAAAGCGCCACGAUGGGUUGGCAGAAGGCUGGGCACAAUGCCGCUUCGGAUGGCCAGCAGAGAGCGAGCAAGCACGGGCACCGGUCGCUGGAAUCACACAAGGGUGACUUCAAACUGGCCAACCAAAAAUCCAGUCUGGAGAAAUUAAAACGCUAUGCAUCAAGUCCCACCUCCUCCUCCUCUUCCUCCAACACUGCCCAGCAAAGCUCACUGAGGGCCACCCUAGGGGACAACGUCAACAGAGUGCAGCAGCCAGCAAAGCUCAAUUGUAGCUCGGAAGGAGGAGCUCAAGCGCAAGAGAGGCCAGCAAAGCAUGGUGGCGGGCACUGUGUCCAAAACUUCCCGCCUUCUCUUGCUUCGAAGCUAGCAGAAACCAACAGCUUAUGUAAGGCCAAUGGACGGCCAAGACCAGGCUCCUGAUGAGUCUCCAAAGCUGAAGUUACCAGCAGAGACAACCAAGUCGUAUAGGGGAGUGCCUUCUAACA